rnacentral:rRNA from 1 species
GACGAACGCUGGCGGCGUGCCUAAUACAUGCAAGUAGAACGCAGUGGCGAACGGGUGAGUAACGCGUAGGUAACUGCCUGGUAGUGGGGGAUAACUAUUGGAAACGAUAGCUAUUACAGCCUACUACCAGAUGGCCCUGCUUGGUAUGAGCUAGUUGGUGGGGUAACGGCUCACCAAGGCAACGAUACAUAGCCGACCUGCGAGGGUGAUCGGCCACCCUGGAGACGUGACACGGCCCAGACUCCUACGGUAGGCAGCAGUAGGGAAUCUUCGGCAAUGGACGGAAGUCUGACCGAGCAACGCCGCGUGAGUGAAGAAGGUUUUCGGGUCGUAAAGCUCUUUUGUAAGAGAAGCGGUAUCUUGCCAGGAAGGGACGGCUAACUACGUGCCAGCAGCCGCGGUAAUAC